GGACUACUAGGGUUUCUAAUCCGGAUCGCUCCCCACGCUUUCGCGCCUCAGCGUCAGCAAAGCUCCAGGCAACCGCCUUCGCCACUGGUGUUCCUCCCGAUAUCUACGCAUUCCACCACUACACCGGGAAUUCCAUUGCCCCCUAGCUUGCUCAAGUUCGACCGUAUCCGCUGACCCCGCCCAGUUGAGCCGAGCGAUUUCACAACGGACGUGCCGAACCGCCUGCGCGCCCUUUACGCCCAAUAAAUCCGGGCAACGCUCGCACCCUACGUAUUACCGCGGCGGCUGGCAC
rnacentral:rRNA from 1 species